rnacentral:rRNA from 1 species
GAUGAACGCUAGCGGCAGGCUUAACACAUGCAAGUCGAGGGGCAGCGAGUAGAUUGCUUGCAAUCUACGUCGGCGACCGGCGGACGGGUGCGUAACGCGUAUGCAACCUACCCAUUACAGGGGGAUAACACUGAGAAAUCGGUACUAAUACCCCAUAACAUCCAGGGAGGCAUCUUCUUGGGUUGAAAACUCCGGUGGUAAUGGAUGGGCAUGCGUUGUAUUAGUUAGUUGGUGGGGUAACGGCUCACCAAGACAACGAUACAUAGGGGGACUGAGAGGUUAACCCCCCACAUUGGUACUGAGACACGGACCAA